GGGAGGCGGGAAAGGCAGAGAAGGCGAGCGAACAUUCGCACCUGAUUCAAUGUGUACUCUGUUCCCAGGGUCAGGGGAUGAGACCGGGGGUCACCUCCUUUCCAUUGUCCAGCAAUCUGGAGCUUUUUUUAAAAAAGUCUCUGGUAUUAGGAGAAGCAGGCACGCAGCCCUAAAGGCUCCAAGCCUCUGUUCCCAAAGGAAAGCUAGCCCACAUCAGACCUCUCCCCGUCCCAAAUCAGUGCAACAUUAGGUCUGAGGUUGGAAGCAGUAAGUGAAGGAUUCUAAGUAAGUAUUCAAUAACCCGCUUUACCUACAAUACUGAGUUCAUUCAUACAUUCGUGUUUUAAAGGACGACAGCACCCACUCCCCGACCACUUAGAACAAUCAGGGUGACUGUCCCGGGAGACACUGACGGAUAAACAUUGUGCAAAACCACCCUGCAAGGAUGCCUGAAGGGGUCGUUUGCUCAGUUUUGAGCGGAGGCCAGAGGGCGAGUGAAGGCAGGGGUCUGCUCAGAAUUACAAAGUGAGGUUUGAAGCAGCUCUGGCCAACACCUCAAAGAUGUGUCAAGAUUUUAUAUCCAGGAUUUAUCUCGUACAUCACUUACUUUGGCAAUUAAAAA